AGGUAUAGAAACUCCAUAGCUUCCUGUGCAGAUGAGCAGCCUCACAUCUGAAACUACAGACUGUUGAAAACCAUCAGCAAGGGGAACUUUGCAAAAAUGAUAUUGACAUGACACAUCCUUACAGGCAGAGAGAUUGCAACAAAAAUAAUUGACAAAACUCAGUUGAAUCCAACAAGUCUUCAAAAGGUCUUCAGAGAAUUAAGAGUAUGAAGAUUUUUAAUCAUCCAAACAUAAUGAAGUUGCUUGAAGUCAUUGAAACUAAAAAACCACUCUACUUAAUCAUGGAAUACACAAGUGGAUGGGACGUAUUUCACUAUUUGGUUCCACGUGGAUGAAUGGUGGGAAAAGAAGCAAGAGCUAAAUUUAGACAGACCAUGUCCGCAGUACAGUAUUGCCACUAAAAGCUGAUUGAUCACAGGGAACUCAAGGCUGAAAAUCUGUUGUUAGAUCUGGAUAUGAACAUUAAAAUAGCAGGUUUGGGUUUCAGCAAUGAGUUUACUCUUGGCAGUAAACUAGACACGUUUUGUGGUAGUCCUCCAUAUGCAGCCCCAGACCUCUUCCAGGGCAAGAAGUACGAUGGGCUUGAAGUCCACGCUUGGCGUCUAGGCCUUCUCCCAUACACCCCGGUCAGUGGGUCUCUUCCCUUUGGCAGGCAAAAUCUGAAGGAACUUGGAGAGAAAGAGUGUUAUGACAGAAAUACAGAAUCCCUUUCUUCAUGUCCAUAGACUUUGAGAACCUUCUCAAAUGCUUCCUGAUGCCAAAUCCAAUUACUCUAGGUACUCUAAAGCAAAUCAUGAAGGACAAGUGGAUCAACACAGGGCAUGAGGAAGAUGAACUUAAACCCUUUGUUGAACCAGAGCUAGACAUCUCAGACCAGAAGAGACUAGAUGUUAUAGUAGGAAUGGGAUAUUCACAAGAGGAAAUUCAAGAAUCUCUCAGUAAAAUGAAACAGAAUCAAAUCACAGCUACAUACUUGCUGAGGAGCAAAUCUUCAGAGGUGCGGCCAAGCAGUGACCUCAGCAACAGUGUCCUCACCACAAAGUACCAAGAAGUAUUUCUUCAAUCCAGGAGCCCAGGGAGUACAGUGACUAUGCUGGACCAGCUAUUCCUUCAGUUGUGGCAUAUCCGAAGAGGAGUCGGACUAGCACUGCAGAUCCCUCAAAGAAGAUGGGAUUCCCUCCUGGAAAUCAGGAGGCAGUGCCACUUGGAUUACAGGAAAGGGAAUUGCUCCAGCCAGUCCCAUGCUUGGGAAGGCAAGUAUUCCCAACAAGAUGGACAUUCCUGAACACAAGAAAAGCCUGAGGUCUCCAGCAGUAGCACAGGAUCUGGAGGGGAUGAUACAGAAAAAUAUUCACAUUUGCAGUGAGUAAACCACAGCACACAGAUAUUUAGUGAUCCAGAAUGGCAAGGAGAAGAGCACCAUUCCAGAUCAGAGAACUCCAGCUGCUUCAACGCACAGUGUCAGCAGUGCCACCUCCCUAGACUUCUUCCCUAGAGGCACUGCUGGUGGCAGCACUUCCCACCGCCAGCCCCCAGGAAUCGCAAACUGCCAAAGACAACGGCCCUCCUGACUAGCGCAGCCUGUCCCACCAAGCCACGCCACUGUCCCAGACUUGAAGCAGAGGUGCCACUAAUCUCUUUUGUAAAUUAACUUCAAAACUCACAAGAAGCCGCAAUGUCUCUGCUGAGCAAAAGGACAAGAACGAAGAAGCAACACUUCGCUCCCUGCGCUUCACCUGGAGCAUGAGAACCACUAGUUCCAGGGAUUCCAGUGACACGAUGAGGGAAAUCCGCCAAGUGAUGGACGCCAAUAGCUGCGACCAAGAGAAUGUCUUUGAAGGAGGUCCGGUUCAAGCUGAAACCAGAGACAUCCAUAACUUUCAAAAAUAG